CUGCAUAUCGUAUGGGGACACUUCGUUCAUAGUUUUUGAAAAAUGCCUCCAGACUGUACUUGUCCUGUCCGACGACACAGAGGACCUUCUUAGCCGUCGACCACCUGUGCCCUCACAGUGUUUCAGGCAGUGCAGCUGAGAGCACAUACAUAUGCCCCUUGAAGAAGGCAUGUCAGGACAGACAUUGAAUCUGCUAUUGUCCACCACUAGAAUGGGGAGCAAGAAGAGACGCUUCACUAUCUGAGCCAGCAGGAGAAUGGCAUUCAUGGCGAGAAGCGAGAAGCGAGCAGACUCACUAGAGCAACAAGCUAGGGGGAAGCUACCACAUGGAGAAGGAGGGUGUUCGAUGAAGCUUGGAUCUUCUGGAGGAAAGUGUUGUGAAGUUGGACUGUAUUGUCACUGA
rnacentral:lncRNA from 1 species